rnacentral:lncRNA from 1 species
UCACUACGCUUGGUUUAAAACUUCUCAUCCAGCAGAUCAGACCGUCCUUCGCUUGCAGCACCUUCCAUCUAUCACUUUCCUUCAAGAGCAUCGACCAUCUCUGUAACAGUGAUAAGGCAUCAAACAUAACAUCAGAUGGCGCGUUAGGGAAAUGUUUCUCAAUCGCCAUUUUGUUCCUUGUGACCCAUAGGGUCCAGGCAAAAACUGCGAAAAGGAACAUAAGCAACCGCGUAGAUAAGGGACCAUUGCCCCACAACCAUCCCUCUGACAGUUCUUGUAAGGAAUGGGGAACAUCCUCCAGACCGAAAACCUCCUUUAUGAUUGUCCAGAUCAAUUUAGCAAAAACACAUUCAAAAAGAAUAUGAUUAAUAGUUUCUAUAACCCCACAAAGACAACAUUUGCCAUCUCCUCUCCAACCCCUUCUUAACAGAGACAAGCCCACCGGCAGUUUGUUAUUAAAAGUUUGCCAAAGAAAAAACUU